rnacentral:lncRNA from 1 species
UUUUUUUUUUUUUUUGUCUUUUUGCCAUUUCUUGGGCCGCUCCCACGGCAUAUGGAGGUGCCCAGGCUAGGGGUCGAAUCAGAGGUGUAGCUGCCAGCCUAUGCCACAGCCACAGUAACGCGGGAUCCGAGCCAUGUCUGCGACCUACACCACAGCUCACGGCAAUGCCAGAUCGUUAACCCACUGAGCAAGGGCAGGGAUCGAACCCGCAACCUCAUGGUUCCUAGUCGGAUUUGUUAACCACUGCACCAUGACGGGAACUCCGCAUAAGUUUUUCAAUGUCUGUGAGUCAGCAUCUGUUCUGCAAAGAAGUUCAGUCUGGCCUUUUUUCUUUAGGACUCUCUAGGUAUAGUAUCAUGUCAUCUGCAAAUAGUGAUAGUUUUACUUCUUCCUUUCCAGUUUGGAUUCCUUUUAUCUCCUUGACUUCUCUGAUUGCUGUGGCUAGGACUUCCAAAACUAUGUUGAAUAGUAGUGGUGAGAGUGGACAUCCUUGUCUUGUUCCUGAUCUCAGUAGGAAUUCUUUCCACUUUUCCCCAUUGAGAAUGAUGUUAGCUGUGGGUUUGUCAUAUAUGGCCUUUAUUAUAUUGAGAUAGGUUUCUUCUAUGCCCACUUUAUGAAGGGUUUUUAUCAGAAUUGGGUGUUGGAUUUUGUCAAAGGCUUUUUCGGUGUCUAUUGAGAGGAUCAUAUGAUUUUUAUUCUUCAGUUUGUUAAUAUGAUGUAUCACACUGAUGGAUUUACAGAUACUGAAGAACCCUUGCCUCCCAGAGAUAAAUCCCACUUGAUCAUGAUAUACAAUCCUUUUAAUGAUAGAUGGAUGCGGUUUGCUAGUAUUUUGUUGAGGAUUUUUGCAUCUAUGUUCAUCAGCCUACAGUUUUCCUUGUUUUGUUGUAUCUUUGUCUGGUUUUGGUAUAAGGGUGAUGGUGGCCUCAUAGAAUGAGUUUGGGAGUAUCCUUUCCUCUGCAAUUUUUUGAGAUAGUUUCAGAAGGAUAGGUGUUAGUUCUUCUCAAUGUUUGAUAGAAUUCACCUGUGUAGCCAUCUGGUCCUGGACUUUUGUUUGUUGGAAGUUUUUUAAUCUAAGUUCAAUUUCAGCUCUUGUGAUUGGUCCAUUCAUCUUUUCUAUUUCAUCUUGGUUUAGUCUUGUAAGAUUGUACUUUUCUAAGAAUUUGUCCAUUUCUUCUAGGUUUUCCAUUUUAUUGACGUAUAGUUGCAUAUAGUAGUCUCUUAUGAUCCUUUGUAUUUCUGUGAUGUCCAUUGUAACUUCUCCUUUUUCAUUUUAAUUUUAUUGAUUUGAGUCCUCUCUCUUUUUUUCUUGAUAAGUCUGGUUAAAGGUUUAUCAAUUUAGUUGAUCUUUUCAAAGAACCAGCUUUUCAUUUCAUUGAUCUUUUCUAUAGUUUUCUUUGUUUCUAUUUCAUUGAUUUCUGCUCUGAUCUUUAUGAUUUAUUUCCUUCUACUAACUUUAGGGCUUGUCUGUUCUCUCUCGAGCUGCUUUAGAUGUAAAGAUAGCUUGUUUAUUUGAGCUUUUCCUUAUUUCCUGAGGUGAGCUUGUAUUGUUAUAAUCUUUCCUCUUAGAAUGGCUUUUGCUGCAUCCCAUAGGUUUUGGAGUGUUGUAUCUUUGUUGUCAUUUGCUUCUAGUUAUUUUUUCAUUUCCUCUUUGAUUUCUUCAGUGAUCCAUUGGUUGUUUAGUAGCAUGUUGUUUAGUCUCCACGUGUUUGUGUUUUUUGAAGUUUCUUUCUUGUUGUUGAUUUCCAGUUGUAUAGUGUUGGGAUCGGAAAAGAUGCUUGAUAUGAUUUCAAUUUUCUUAAAGUUACUGAGGUUGGAUUUGUAGGCCAGGAUGUGAUCAGUCUUAGAGAAUGUUCCAUGUGCACUUGAGAAGAAUGUGUAUUCUGUUGCUUUUGGAUGGAAUGUCUAUUAAGUCCAUCUGGUUUAAUGCAUCAUUCAGGGUAUGUGUUUCCUUAUUGAUUUUCUGUCUGGUUGAUCUGCCCAUUGCUGUAAGUGGGGUGUUAAAGUCCCCCGCUAUGAUUGUGUUAUUGUCGAUUUGUCCUUUUAAGGUUGUUAGCAGUUGCCUUAUAUAUUGUGGUGAACCUGUGUUGGGUGCAUAGAUAUUUAAGAUUGUUAUAUCAUCUUCUUGGAUUGAUCCUUUGAUCAUUAUGUAAUGUCCUUCUUUGUCCCUUAAAAUAUUCUUCAAAGUCUAUUUUUUUGGUAUGAGUAUUGCUACUCCAGCUUUCUUUUGAUCCCCAAUUGUAUGGAAUAUUUUCUUCUUAUGAAUUUGUAUUCACUUUCAAUUUGUAUAUGUCCCUAGAAGUGAAGUGGGUAUCUUGAAGACAGCAUAUAUAUGGGUCUUGUUUUUGUAUCCAUUCAGACAGUCUAUGUCUUUUGGUUGGAGUGUUUAGUCCCUUAGCAUUUAAGGUAAUUAUUGAUAUGUAUGUUCUUAUUGCCAUUUGAUUAAUUGCUUUGGAUUUGUUUUUGUUGCUCUUUUUUCUUUCCUUCUUCUCUUGUUCUCUCCUCUUGUGGUUUGAUGACUACUUUUAGUGCUGUAUUUGAGUUGAUUUUUCUUUGUGUAUCAAUUGUAGAUUUUUGGUUUGCAGUUAUUCUGAAGAUUUGAUAUAAGAGUCUAUAUGUAUAUGAGACUGUUUUAAGUUGUUGUUCUCUUAAUUGCAAGUUCAUCUCCAGUGUCCUGCAUUUGUACCCACCUCUUCUCAUGAUUUCUGAUUUUGGUGGCAUAAUUGUGUGUGGAUGAUUUUGUAUCUUUACUAUAUAUAUACCUUUACUGGUGAGCCUUGUCAUUUGUGGAAUUAUUGUUUCCUGUUGCUGUCUUUUCUUUUCUGCCUAGAGAAGUUCCUUUAGUAUUUGUUGUAAGGCUGGUUUAGUGUUGCUGGAUUCUCUCAGCUUUUGCUUAUCUGUGAAGGUUUUGAUUUCUCCCUCAAAUCUGAAAGAGAGUCUUGCUGGGUAAAGUAAUCUUGGUCGGAGGUUUUUUCCUUUCAUCACGUUGAGUAUAUCAUACCACUCCCUUCUGGCCUGCAGAGUUUCUGCUGAAAAAUCUGCCAUUAACCUUAUUGAGGUUGCCUUGUAUGUUAUUUGUUUCUUUUCCCUAGCUGCUUUCAAUAUUUUCUCUGUCUUUCAUUUUGGUCAGUUGAUUAUAUGUGUCUUGGGAUAUUCCUCCUUUGGUUUAUUUUAUGUGGUACUCAUUGUGCCUCCUGGAUUUGAGUGAGUGGUUCUUUUCCCAUGUUAGGGAAAUUUUCGGCUAUUAUCUCUUGGAAUAUUUUUUCUGUCCCCUUCUCUCUCUCUCCUCCUUCUGCCACUCCUAUAAUAUGGAUGUUGGUGCAUUUAAUGUUGUCCCAGAGUUCUCUGAGACUCUCUUCAUUUCUUUUCAAUCUUUCUUCUCUUUUCUGUUCUGCAUCCAUAAUUUCUACUAAUCUGUCCUCCACCUCACUUAUUCGUUCUUCUGCCUCCUGUAUUCUGCUGUUAGCUGCUUCUAGUGAAUUUUUUAUUUCAGUUGUUGUAUUUUGCAUCUCUUCUUGCUUAAGUUUUAUAUCUUGAAUCUCUUUGGUCAGUAUUUCCUGUAAGUCAUCCAUCUUUGCCUCCAGUUUAUUGCCAACAGUCUAAAGACUUUUUCCUGGAGGCUGAGAAUCUCCUGAUCACUUAGCUGAUUUUCUGGGGUUUUUUCUUUCUCCCUCAUCUGAGUUGUAGUUCUCUGUCUUUUCAUUUUUAUAGGUUUUUGGUGUGUAGUGAUCUUUUUACAGAUAAUAGAGUUGUAGCCUCUCUUCUUUCUGGUGUCUGCCCACCUUGUGGCUGAAGUCAGUAUGGGGGACUGGCUGUAGGCUUCCUUUUGGGAGGGGCUGAUGCCUGCCCACUGGUGGGUGGAGCUGAUUCUAAUCCCUCUGGUGGGUGGGGCUUAGUCUCUGGAUGGGAUUAGAGGCAGCUGUGUGCCUGAGGGGUCUUUAGGUAGCCUGUUUACUGAGGGUCGGGGCUGUUAUCCCACCUGGAUUCUUGUUUGCCCUGGGGCUUCUCAGCACUGACUGACAGGUGGGGCCAGACUGUCCCAAAAUGGCCACCUCCAGAGAAGGGCACUGCUGCUGAAUAGCCCUGAGAGCUUUGCUUUCAAUGUCCUUCCCUCACAACAAGCCACAUUCACCCUUGUUUUCCCAGGAACUCCUCCUGGGAAUCUGUGUUUGACCCAGAUUCCUAUGGAGACCUCGCUCUGCUCUGGGACCCAGUGCAUGUGAAAAUCUGUGUGCGCCUUUUAAGAAUGAGGUCUCCGUUUCCCCCAGUCCUGUGGAGCUCCUGUGCACGAGCCCCACUGGCCUUCAAUGCCAGAUGCUCCAGGGUCUCUUUCUCCCAGUGCCAGAUCCCCACAUGUGAGAGUUUGAUAUGUUGCUCAGAACUCUCACUCCUGUAGGUGAGUCUCUGUGAACCAGUUAGAAUUAUUUUUUAUCUUUAACUUUUUCCAUUUUAAUUAUGAUGUCUUUCUCUUUUUUUUUCAUCUUGUCUGAGACUCUCUUUGUGUCCUAGACAUGGGUGUCUGUUGCCUUUUUCAGGUUCAGGAAAUUUCUGUCAUAAUUUUACUCAGUACCCUUUUUACCCCUUUCUCUCUCUCAUUUCCUUCUUAGACUCCUAAAAUGCACAUGUUAGUAUGCUUGAUGUUUUAUCAGAGGCCCCUUAAACUGUCAUUUUUAAAAUAUGUUUUUCAUUUUGGUGUUCUGAUGGGUGAUUUCCAUUAUGCUAUAUUUCAGAUCAUUUAUGUUUUCUU